rnacentral:rRNA from 1 species
AUUGAACGCUGGCGGCAGGCCUAACGCAUGCAAGUCGAGCGGAUGAAGGGAGCUUGCUCCUGGAUUCAGCGGCGGACGGGUGCGUAAUGCCUAGGAAUCUGCCUGGUAGUGGGGGAUAACGUCCGGGAACGGGCGCUAAUACCGCAUACGUCCUGAGGGAGAACGUGGGGGGUCUUCGAACCUCACGCUAUCAGAUGAGCCUAGGUCGGAUUAGCUAGUUGGUGGGGUAAAGGCCUACCAAGGCGACGAUCCGUAACUGAUCUGAGAGGAUGAUCAGUCACACGAGAACUGAAACACGGUCCAGAGUCCUAAGAGAGGCAGCAGUGGGGAAUAUUGGACAAUGGUCGAAAGCCUGGUCCAGCCGUGCCACGUGUGUGAAGAAGGUCUUCGGAUUGUGAAGCACUUUAAGUUGGGAGGAAGGGCAGUAAGUUAAUACCAUGCUGUUUUGACGUUACCAACAGAAUAAGCACCGGCUAACUUCGUG